AGUGAACGCUGGCGGUAGGCCUAACACAUGCAAGUCGAACGGCAGCACAGUAAGAGCUUGCUCUUACGGGUGGCGAGUGGCGGACGGGUGAGGAAUACAUCGGAAUCUACUUUUUCGUGGGGGAUAACGUAGGGAAACUUACGCUAAUACCGCAUACGACCUACGGGUGAAAGCAGGGGAUCUUCGGACCUUGCGCGAUUGAAUGAGCCGAUGUCGGAUUAGCUAGUUGGCGGGGUAAAGGCCCACCAAGGCGACGAUCCGUAGCUGGUCUGAGAGGAUGAUCAGCCACACUGGAACUGAGACACGGUCCAGACUCCUACGGGAGGCAGCAGUGGGGAAUAUUGGACAAUGGGCGCAAGCCUGAUCCAGCCAUACCGCGUGGGUGAAGAAGGCCUUCGGGUUGUAAAGCCCUUUUGUUGGGAAAGAAAAGCAGCAGGUUAAUACCCCGCUGUUCUGACGGUACCCAAAGAAUAAUCACCGGCUAACUUCGUG
rnacentral:rRNA from 1 species